rnacentral:tRNA from 1 species
AAGAUUUUAAGUUAAAUAUUAAACUAUUAACCUUCAAAGUUAAAAUUAAUUUUUAUAAAAUUAAAUCUUA